rnacentral:rRNA from 2 species
UUGAUGUUCUAACGUGGACCCGUGAUCCGGGUUGCGGACAGUGUCUGGUGGGUAGUUUGACUGGGGCGGUCUCCUCCUAAAGAGUAACGGAGGAGCACGAAGGUUGGCUAAUCCUGGUCGGACAUCAGGAGGUUAGUGCAAUGGCAUAAGCCAGCUUGACUGCGAGCGUGACGGCGCGAGCAGGUGCGAAAGCAGGUCAUAGUGAUCCGGUGGUUCUGAAUGGAAGGGCCAUCGCUCAACGGAUAAAAGGUACUCCGGGGAUAACAGGCUGAUACCGCCCAAGAGUUCAUAUCGACGGCGGUGUUUGGCACCUCGAUGUCGGCUCAUCACAUCCUGGGGCUGAAGUAGGUCCCAAGGGUAUGGCUGUUCGCCAUUUAAAGUGGUACGCGAGCUGGGUUUAGAACGUCGUGAGACAGUUCGGUCCCUAUCUGCCGUGGGCGCUGGAGAACUGAGGGGGGCUGCUCCUAGUACGAGAGGACCGGAGUGGACGCAUCACUGGUGUUCGGGUUGUCAUGCCAAUGGCACUGCCCGGUAGCUAAAUGCGGAAGAGAUAAGUGCUGAAAGCAUCUAAGCACGAAACUUGCCCCGAGAUGAGUUCUCCCUGAGACUUAGAGUCUCCUGAAGGAACGUUGAAGACGACGACGUUGAUAGGCCGGGUGUGUAAGCGCAGCGAUGCGUUGAGCUAACCGGUACUAAUGAACCGUGAGGCUUAACCUUACAACGCCGAAG